AAGAAAUACAAUAUGGAUGAUGCUAAUUUUCAUUGGUGAAAGGAGUGGUGACCAAGUCAAGUUUCACCUGCUGCGUGCAAUCUACGCUGGUGUUGUCCUGAAGUGUGGAAGCGUUACUUGAAAUGUUACAGCAACUGAAGACUUCAGAAACGGAAGAUCUACGAUGCUGUCAUUUUUCCAACGUCCGGUUGAAGCCAUUCAGAGAAGGUCAUAACUCAUAAGGAACAUUACGUAAGUGUCAUGUGGUGGUGUAAGGUUGGGUGAGAAUUGAGAAAGACACGUGUUCAUCAUUAUCAAACCCAUCCCCAGCAACGUCAUCCUUCAGAAGGAAAGGCCAGUUU